GACAGAGGGUGCUAACGUUGUUCGGAAUUACUGGGCGUAAAGCGCGUGUAGGCGGCGCUGCAAGUCGGAUGUGAAAGCCCUGGGCUCAACCUGGGAAGUGCAUUCGAAACUGCGGGGCUUGAGUUCUGGAGAGGAUGGCGGAAUUCUCGGUGUAGAGGUGAAAUUCGUAGAUAUCGAGAGGAACACCGGUGGCGAAGGCGGCCAUCUGGACAGCGACUGACGCUGAGACGCGAAAGCGUGGGGAG
rnacentral:rRNA from 1 species